UAGGGAAUCUUCCGCAAUGGACGAAAGUCUGACGGAGCAACGCCGCGUGAGCGAAGAAGGCCUUCGGGUCGUAAAGCUCUGUUGUCAGGGAAGAACAAGUGCCAUUCGAAUAGGUUGGCACCUUGACGGUACCUGGCCAGAAAGCCACGGCUAACUACGUGCCAGCAGCCGCGGUAAUACGUAGGUGGCAAGCGUUGUCCGGAAUUAUUGGGCGUAAAGCGCGCGCAGGCGGUCCUUUAAGUCUGAUGUGAAAGCCCACGGCUCAACCGUGGAGGGUCAUUGGAAACUGGAGGACUUGAGUGCAGAAGAGAAGAGUGGAAUUCCACGUGUAGCGGUGAAAUGCGUAGAGAUGUGGAGGAACACCAGUGGCGAAGGCGACUCUUUGGUCUGUAACUGACGCUGAGGCGCGAAAGCGUGGGGAGCAAACAGGAUUAGAUACCCUGGUAGUCCACGCCGUAAACGAUGAGUGCUAAGUGUUAGGGGGUUUCCGCCC
rnacentral:rRNA from 1 species